GCCAAAGCAUGGAACUGAAUAAUGUCACAAGACAGAUAGAAAUAUCUCCAGCCAAGACUACCCAAGCUAUCUCAAAAAAGCUUUAAUAAAGAGCUACUUCUAACAAAGAAGAGACAUAUCUGCUACAUAGUCACUUUUCAAGCUACUGUGUGUCAAGCUCUAUCACAAUGAGUCAAAACACGAGCCAAGCUUCAAUAAUUGAAUGAUGCCAAUUGAGAAAUUCAGAUAAGAGUAGAUCCCCAAUUGAUGCAAAGGCAAAAACAACCCAUGCCUGAAACAAACGAGCAUAAACAGCACUACGCAUAAACUACAGCAAUUUGACAAUAGAUGCCAAAUCAAUUACAAAAAACAAUGAAAUCCUCUUCCCGCGAAUUGAUUUUGCCAAAACCCAACCUACAAAGCGACUUAGAGUACAACAUCCUCGUAGAGUAUGCAGAGCUAGGGACCUUCUAAAUCUAUGCAUUGUUGAGCAGAGAAACUUCUUUGUUAUUUUGUCCAAUAAAAAAUUGUAUCAUUUCCUUAUUUCGCUUCAGAGAAGUCUCCAAGAGAUCAGAUUGGACUUACUUUUCCUCCUUUGCUCAAGCAACCUGGACACCUUAAUCUUACUGAAGUUAAUAGUCCUUGUGUUUGGU
rnacentral:misc_RNA from 1 species